UUUCCAGAGGAGGAAGUCUGGUGACUCCAGGGGCAGCCUACUUAUAUUGUACCAUAUUUAACAUACCGUGAUGCUCAGGCAGUUGUCUUGGGCUUGAGAAGAUCUUCUAGAUGGCAGGACUAGUUAGCUUCAGUGAAAUCUAGUACCUCUGGGAAAAUUCUGCUGCUUACAAAUUUCCUAUUUUGAAGAAGGAAACCACGGAACAUGAACUCCAUGAGGGCUCUGGACUCCUGUAUUCAGUACUGCUCUUAGAACAGGCAAUCGUGGCCUGUGUUUUGGGGAGCUCUACUCUGGCCCUCCUUCAUCAGUACUACUCCCCAUGCGUGAUCCAUCUGUGAGACCAAGGGACACACCCAGAACCUGCACCAACCCCUCCAUUCUAGAUAAUGCUCUGCAAGCACAGGCCCUGAAAUUUCACACCAGCAAAGACUUGUGCCUACUUCUAGUGUCUGAAUGGCUGCCCCUGAAAACCCAAAAUCUUCUAUUGACUGAGAUUUGAUCAUAGUCCUAUAUUGGCUGAACCAGAGUCUGGUCCACAGUUGGAGGUAGGUAUUUUCAAGCCAGGAAUUACCUUUCCACCAACUUUAAAUACAAUGGGGAGAAGGUAAUUUCCCUCAAAGAAAUUAGCUGAUCAUUGAGAAGAGAGAUUAUGUUGGGAACUGCCUACUGCAGGCAAGAUGAACAUUGUCAAUGUUGCAUAGAGAAGAAGGAAGAUGAGGACCAAUAAGGGACCACUGAAUUCAGAGAUGAAUUAAAAGUCCAUUAUUCUUGGUAAAAGAUGAGGGUAACCAUGAAGGACUCUCUAAGAACACACAGGAAGUGAAAUAGGAUGGCCACAGGGAGUUAAACUAUAAAACAGACACUAAGUUUGAUGGAUAAAAGACGACAGGCAGAGUUAUGUUAAGAGAGACAGAUUCCUGACGAGGCCAGUAAGACAGGAUUGAAACCUGACUGAAGGCAUUACCUUAUCAAAGGAAAGAAUGUGUCAUUCAGAGGGGAUGUUGGCUAACAAAGGAGAAGCAGAGAGACACAAGCCAGAGAAGCUAGCUAGUGCCCAGAUUAGAUGAUAUAAACAUCCACUUUUCACAGGCAGAUACCUCCUUAUCCUGGAAGCAGACACACUGGAGUCAUUAAACAUUCCAAUCACCAGAGUUGACUAUAAGACAUCCAGUUCUUUGCCUACCAAGGUACCUUCUGAUGAAUUGGCUUUCAUGUGGCUUUUCUACUGGGAAAGAACACGCAACAGAAAAAAUUGUUCUAUUUCUCUUUCUAAACACAUAUCCUGGGUUAUACAUUCACAUCAGCAGGAGUCAUCAUCCCAAACAUAAUUAACUCUGAGAAACUGAUAAAACCAAAUUUAUGAGUAACUUUUGAGAAAUGAGUUUCAGUGAAGAGACGGUUGGCUAAAGCCAGACUUCAGGGGGUUAAAGCAUGAAAAUGUCUUAAUAAUAACACUCAUGUAUACUUUUGUAGUGUCUUAAAAUUUGCAGAACACUUUCACUUAUGUUAUCUCAUUUCACUGUUUUGUGAGGGAAGCAAGAAUUUCAAAACCCACUUGAGAGUAGGGAUGUUGGCAUUUAGAGAUUAUAUGAUUUUCACAUGAGAAGUUUGGAGAAAGACCUAUAUCUUCAACCAUGUAGUGUUUUCCCUUUGCUCUAUAUUUCCUAUAAUUUCUUAAGCAUUGUGGUGAUCACUGUGGGAUUGUAAAAGGUGGGUGAGACACCAUUCAGUUUGCUCAAAGAGCAAACAGUGGGAUAAAGCUACGUGCUUACAUAUUUUAUUUUGUGUUUAAGCUUUAAGAGGGAACAAAUCAGUCAUUUGCUAAUCCAAUAUAAGCACCAGAGUUAUGAUGGAGAAUAGGCACAGAUGAUCUUGGCUCUCAACAACCCUUCAAAUAUAGAAGGUAUUGGGUGUCUACUUCCUCUUUGCUUUGAGGUCGAGGGGCUUAGAACACCAUAUUAUUGACUGUGUUUGACUAUACAUAGUCCCAGGGAUAUUGUAUGAAUUAUUUCACAAAAUUCUCUUGACCACUUUAUAAGAGAACUUUGCUAAAUCAAAAUCUUUUGAGGAGGCUGUCAGCUCACUUAUCAUUUUCUUUGCAGAUGUCUCUUUCCCUGGACAAACUAUAAACUCCAUGAGGGCAACUGCUAGCUGUCUUGCAUGGAACCUAGCAUGGAAGGUGUUCCGUAAUAUUUCUUGAAUUGAAUGGAAAGAACUUGUCUUUUAGAGAUAAAUAGUUCAAGUUCCCAAUUUCUAGAGAUUGCAAGUGGUGAAUCAAGAUUCAAACAAAAAUGCAAAUGAGCCCAGAGUCUGUGUUUACUUGUUGAACUGAAUCUUGUCUCUCAAUAUAUUGAGUUAUAGUAUCUUUCUGUUCAAACUCAACUCAGAGUUCUAUAACCAUGAAUUUCCCUUCCAUUUAUGCUAACAAUUUAUCUAUUCUUCUGC